UACGUAGGUGGCGAGCGUUGUCCGGAAUCAUUGGGCGUAAAGAGCGCGUAGGCGGCUUGUCAGGUCUGACGUGAAAUGCCGGGGCUCAACCCCGGACGUGCGUCAGAAACCGGCUUGCUAGAGUCUGGGAGAGGGAAGUGGAAUUCCUGGUGUAGCGGUGAAAUGCGCAGAUAUCAGGAGGAACACCGGUAGCGAAGGCUGCUUCCUGGAACAGUACUGACGCUGAGGCGCGAAAGCUAGGGGAGCAAAC
rnacentral:rRNA from 1 species